UUUUCUCUGGUAAUUAAAUUGACUUUUCCAUUUAAAUAAAGCUGCAGCCAGAACAGAUGCGCUUUUAAGAUCUGACUGGCAACCCCGGUAACAAGUCACAGCAACUCUCAUCCUCCCCUAUAAAUUCUGAGCACUGAAGCUCAAAGCAAAUUGCAUCGACUCGAUUUUGCUAAGAGGAAAUCUGGUUUGCGAAGAACCCCCAAAGUCACCAGACUCAGCCACCUUAAGGUCUUCUUCAGAUCUUUGUUCAGUCCACUCAAGUCCAAAAAGGUAUUCCAUCGAUCUCUUCUCUCUGCUCAGAUUCCAUUCCCUCCAUUUCCGUGCUCCAUCGCUUUCCUCUCUGUUUGUACCUGCUUUGGACGAUCUGAUAGUGGCAGAUCUUCUAAUUAGUUGUAUUUCUCCUUUCUGAAUGACUGCUGUCAGUUUCCGUAUCCACGAUUUGAAUAUUUUACCAGAUCUGAACUGAUUUCCGUCCUCAAUUCAUUUACACUUAGUCGACCGCUGUGGAUCUAUUGCUUGAAUCUUGUGUGUCAGCUGCGAGUUUUUUCUCUCUUCCGUAGCAGAUCUGAUGUAUUACUGGUCUUUCUUCUUAGUAGUUGCGUUGUUGUUUAUCAGAUCUAGCUGUUAUUCUUUCAUUUCUGUUCGCUAGUCGAUAGGAUAACUGUUACGGGACUUUUGCUGGGAUUCCAUUUUCUCUAGUGCGCAGCGAAUCUCAGUAGAUCGCUGUUCUUUUCUUCUGCUGAUUCGCUGUUUGUUUUGGAUUUCUGGAUCAAAUUCGAAUUUCUUAUCUUCAUGAAUCUAGGAUAAUACUAUGUGUGCUUGAUUUGAUUCUCGAUUGCGUGCUCUUUGUAUAUUCUGAUAAGGUUUAUCUAGUCAUUGCCGGCUAAACUAGUGUAAAGUCUACGAAAUUGAACUUUGCUUGUUAGCUAAUUUUUUACUAUGCGUCCAGGAAAGAUGGAGACCUUCCUAUUCACAUCUGAG
rnacentral:lncRNA from 1 species